CCAGUAAAAAAACCCCUUUUAGCCGCGUGACGAAGGUGCCGACGCAUCCAAUCAGUGCGCAGUCCAUUUAGGAGGAAUAACAAAUCCAGCCAAUCAGAAGGAGGUCAGAUUGACUUGGACACGCAGAGGAUGGAAACGGGGGGGAGAUGAACAGUGAAGAUGGACCGAAAAGGUGCGAAAGAAAAGGUAAAUUCACACACUUACAAACACUGACAAGUAGACUCUGAGGAGAGGCAGCAACAAGAACAUCACAAGACUUAAUAUAAAUAUGAAUAACAUAAAAGGGUACUGAUCGUUCGUGAGUAUCUUCUUUGAUGGGUUGCAUUAAUACAUGUUUUAAAUUGGGCUAACCUCAUUGAUGGCGUAGGCUAUAAUAUUUAUAAAAAGACUCAUAUGCACUUUCAUCCUAAUAAAACUGGUUGAUCCGCAUUUUUAUUACUUUCCAGUAAAGAAAAGCUGUACAUUUUUUUUAAAAGCUCGCUGCAUAGCAACAUACUCUGAGCUGCAUUCAUCUCACGUCUGACUUUAAUUAGUUGACAUUCAAUAACUACUUAGUUUACCGAGGGUGACUCCAACCUCUGGGAAAUAUCAAGGCCUAAUAGCUGCGUGGUGGCGCCAUCGUCUGUCACUUAAAGAAAUCGCAGCAAGGCCUGCUGUCGUUUACAACCUCAUUAAGCCUCAGGUCAUUGGUUUCAACACCUAUUAAGGCUAAUCUGCAAGACCUCGAUUUGGCUGAGAUGCUUUAGUUCAUUCAUCCUUAUACAGCUUAGUUUUUUCCUCAAAGACAAGAUAAAGUAAAAGAGGUUGCAACACCAUUUGAUAAAAGCAAAGUGGUGCUGACAUGCUUUCUAGUGUUUUAUUGACAAAGAAGCAAAUUCCUCCUUCUUUAUACUCAGUUCUAAAGGUCGCCUGUGAAGCAAUCAGUGGCAUUUAGUUAAAUGGAAAAUAAUGUUAAUGAAUUUGUGUAUAACCAGCUGAGUAUGAAAAUUGUUUUGUAAUUAUGAGAUUGGACUUUUUGUAUAGGAGUGAGUCUUCUGCCGCAAAGGCAGUCAUGUUUCGACAGUAGCAUAGAUUGACAAACAAAUGUGUUUUUGUAAUUGAUUGAAAUGCACUGGUUUGGACACUAUAAACACAGUUAGUCCAUCAAAGUUACGAUUUAUUUUUUCAUUUAAAUUGGAAGUCAGUGCAGUUGUUAGGAUAAGUCAUUAUUACAUGUCAUCAUAACUAAUGUAAAGUGUUCCAACUAAACAUAAAUGAAUUAAAUUUAGAAAUUGGAGGAGAAAGGAUAUGCCUAACAAUAAUAAUGACGACCCAAAUAUGAAUAUAUUGAGCAUCAUAGCUCAAUAAGGCCAUUUACCUGGACUAAUGUCCUUAUCCCAGUUUUAAUGCACUGGGCAAAAUUACUAGCAGUGGCAUGCCCCCACUCCAGUAGGUAGCAACAUGCCUUUUUCAGCUCGGCUUAUCACUUGGCUGAUCUAUUACUUAUCAAAAAUUGACAAAACACUUUAUCAGCAUUCAGCGAAUAAUGAAGACACUUUUGCAGCUCAGUACAAUUUGUAGGAUAGGAAAGUUUCGUCUUUUUUACAUUCAUAAUUGGUCUUUUGGGAUUUUGUUUACCCUCUGGCUUCGUAGCAACAGGUCUAUGGUAAUCACCUUUUAGUUGAAAGCUGAAAGCCUGUUGUGCAAACCCUGAAGCAUGCGCAGAACGCCAAGGCUAGUUUCAGUUCGAUUGAGCCGAAUACAUGCAAGCAAAAAUUGAUGUUCAACCGAGUUAUCCAGGUACUAUGUUAACUAUUGAGAAGUUCGAUUUAUGUGAUUUCAGUCAGGCUCAUGUGUUAACAUGUUUUUCAAAAGUCCAGUUUCAGUCAGGCUUAGGCAAUGAGCUGAUCUUUUGAACAACAUGUUUGAACAAUUCAAAUGUAGCUAAGUAGUGUUUAGCAAACAAGCUCAAGUUAACUCCAAUUCCAAUAAGAUUUUAGACAGCCAGGACACCAACUUUUUUUAGCUUUAAAAAUUGUUAAGUUCUUUACUGUAGUUCUUUACUUAACAGGAGAAAGGAAAGGGAAGUGGUUGGUUGUGUUGUUGGUAGGUUGGUGGUGUGCAAAACGUGUAGGAUCAUCACAGGACCUUUUUGUCCUUAUAGGCCACCAUCCCUGCAGAGAUGGAAGGGGUGAGCAAGGAAGCAUUUUUAAUUUAGAACCUGACCAUCACAUGACAGGAAAUAUUCCCAUUUCUACACAUCAUUACUUUAAAAAACUACAAGCUGCCACAUCAGUUGUUUGUUGGAAAACAAGUGACGUCUUUGGUUAAACUAAAAAAAGUGUUUCUAUUGGAGAAAAGUUUACUCAGAGAAGUUUUGUUUGAGGUUGGUGCAGUGGUUUUACAUGACAAAACAGCUUCAUUAUAAGAUGCCCCCGGCUUCAUUAGAAAGACAUCAGAUGUAUAAAGAUGAUCUUUUUCUUGACUUUAAUUGUUUAAUUAUUCUCGCAGCUCCAAAGAGAUUUUGCUGCAUCAAGCUGAUUUCCCUUUGGCAAAGCCGAUGCUACUCCACCUUGGUUUGAGCCACGUUCUCCUGACACACUCAUCAAGAAUCACACUCACAAGAACAAAAAAACCCACAGAAGAUGGCAAAGAAUAUCUUUUCCACCAAGGAAUGAUUAAUUGAUAUAAAUGAUUAAAACAGAGGGAAAUUAUGAAAUGGAUUUGAAAAGGGGCCUCAUAGGAAAAGCUUUGUUUGUUCCAGGCCUAUUUUAAUGAGCUUUUCAUAACUGGGCAAGAGAAAUUACUCUGCCCGUUUCUUUUUCUGGAGCUCUUUUUUUGCAAAAAUAAUUAUGGCUAGCUGAAGUGAGGAGAAGAAAGAGGAGGGGUGGAGGGGUCAGGGAGUUGUGAGGGGGAAAUUUCCCCUCAGAAAUUGAUCAUCUCCUUUCUCCACAGAGAUCCUUAAGUCCUGUGGCAGUUUCCAAGCAGCAGCAUUAUGAAGUGGACCAGAAAUAAGAAAAAAAAAAACACAAACAAUAUGGCAGAACACUAUUUCAAUGUUUAAAGAGGGACAAGAGAGCGUCAGAUGUGGCUCGCAGUGUUGAUACUCCCCACAGGGGUGAUCUCACCAAGAUGAAAAGGAGACCACAGUGCUCCAUAAUGAAUCUGCUUGUCCUGUGGGAAAACGCAAGAGAGCCACAUUCAACACGGUGGUUAACUUCAGAUUGGGAUUCACUCUGUGUUAUUUUCUAUUAACAUGACAUUGAGCCACAAAGAGGCCCGGCUUCAAUCUGAAAGUUUACACACCGGAGGCAAUCUUCUAACCAAACAACACGCAGGUCAUCAUAACUUUCUCUCACACUCAUCUCAGCGGAUUGUUUACCACAGCAAAGUGUGGCCUUGUUGUCUGUUUGUCAUGUAGCAUUGCUCUCGCUGUCCUGCGCGCGCGUGCUUGCGUGCGUGUGUGUGCUGUCUUUUAGAGAGAAUGAUAUUCACUUAGCUGAGCCGACUGAUGAGGCAAGAUUAGAGUUCAGAUUAUCUGCAGAUACAGAAGACCCACUCCAUGACUGAAUGCCGUGUGAUGGACUCGGCGGAAAGAUCUCUAAAUGAAAUCUUUUAAGUAACUGGCUACUUACUUAAAAAAAAAAAAAAACAAAGGAAGUUGCAUUCAGACAUUUUGGAAAUACACUGUUUCUUUAUGUUGCCUGGAGCUGAAUUAGAUGAACAGUACAUGAUGGAAAAGGGAUUUAGAUAUUAAGCUGAAACCGGUUUGUUAACUCAGUUUAGCACUAAGCGACAAGAAGAAGACAGAGAGGUAGUUUGUUGUCUGUUUUAUGUCCACUCUUCAGGGUACUGUUGUCAGGACAUGCUAAACCUAGCUUAGCAGAAGGACUGGAGACAUGAGGAAACAAUUAGCUUGGUUAUAUCCCAAGGGCAAAGCCACCUUCAAAGAAUUUAAGGGCCUGUGUCCAUAAACACUCAGUACAUUUACAUUGUCUUAAAAAAAUGCAAUAGUUUAACUGAAUCAGGACUUUGCAAUGCAUGUAAAACACAGGGCUGGCUGAAAUUGUACAAAAAUCAAACUAAUCAUAGUCAGAGUAGAUUGAAUUUCCUUGUCAUAGAGCUCAGUUGAACUGAAACUGACCUGAGCGUUCUGCACAUGCCCCAUUUUUCCUACGCCAGGCUCCGAGCUGUGGUUGAACAGCAUGGACGAGUUGCUAGGAAGCCAGGUAGUAAACAAAACCUUGACAUACAAAGAAAAAAACAAAGAAAAACAAAAACUUGCAAAAUGCCAGAACAAUAAAAAAAUGUUUUCAUGACAGUCGAAAUAGAUCCCCUGGACACCAGCAGAGUAUGUUUGAGUCAUGUAAUUAGCUAAUGAAAAUGUAACAUUGCGCUAAUGUAUUCAGUACACACUUAUUUAUUCUAUCACUAUGGUCACUUGUUAUCGGUAGCCCGUCUUUUUAUUCCCUCAAUCACAAACAACUCGUUAGCAAGACCUUUAGCUUCUUCUUCGGUUCAAAUAGGGGUUGGUAAACAAUGAAAAUGGUGCAUUACCGCCACCAACUGGUAAGGAGUGUGGAUCAGGAUAAACUAUCUACAAUCUGCGAGAAAGGAUUUUAAAGAAAUAACAGAGAAUAACAAAACACUUUUUUAGGGUAGUAUUUUUCUGUGCUUAAGAUCACAGUUAAAUUGCUAACAUAAGGUGGUGUUCAGAUCCAAAAAGGAUGCUGUAAACUCAUUAUUGAUAAGGGUAAUAUUAAUAUCUGUGCAAACUGUCUGCAGUAGAGCAGAUUAGCUUUCAACUUGAUCAAAUGUCGCUGUAUUUAUAUAAAACUCUGAUGGUUGGUUUUAAUUUAAAAGGGAGGGAAAAGUUUUUUCAAUUCCAUACAUGGAAACAUUAAUACACCCCAGUUCAUAGUCAUGGAAGAAUACACUUCUGUGAUUUGUAGCUGCAAAAAGCAAAGUCAGACUGACCAAAACAGUGUAAUCACACUCCUCAAUCUGAGCUCAUUGCAGCUUUGUGUUGCAGCAUAUGUUCCCUGUGCUGUUCCACUUUCCCAUGUGUUUCCAGCCCGACUUGGGUCAGGAAACAAUAAAACAGUCAGAAGUGUUUCUGCUCAAUAUUCCCUCUUUCUCUCUCUCUCUCUCUCUCUCUCUCUCUCUCUCUCUCUCUCUCUCUCGAAAUAUGCCUCACUUCAUUUAUUUGGUGGCAUUGAUCAUGUCUGCCUAUUGUUUGUAAUUAAGCAAAGAACAAGUGAGGUUGAGUAAAUAGCAAUCAACGACUCAAUAAAUACACCCUGUAUGUCGCAGGGUUUCUAUAAGGACUGCGCUGAUAGCUUUUGAUUUUAUCAGCUGCAGGCAGAGCAACGACUCUGAGAAACAUGUCAGCACUGAAACCCUGCUCAGAUGAUCAAGAGAUUAAAAAAAGAAACCCAAACAUACUGUAUCUUACACUUUCUUUGAUACAUGUGGAGGAGUUCAGGGAUCUCUGCAUUUGAGGUAUUACAUAUUCUGUAGAGCAAAUUAGUAUAUACCUGGUGUAAGCCUUAAAAGUAUUGUGUAACAUCUUUAAAUACUCUUUGUUAUAUGUAAUUGUCAAGGGUUCCUAAACUGUGAACCAGCUUGUUAUUGUCUUAACAGGUUGCCUCUGAUAGGGAGCAAUUUUGGGGGGCUUCUGGUCUAGCCAGUAGUUAAGGAUCAAUGGGCCUAGGCAGCCUUUUCUUUGUACUUGUCAUCAUGAGCAGACGAAGUAGCAAUCAUGAGAUGUCGUGAUAAAUAGAAGGCUAAAUAGAUCUUGAGCACCUACAGUAAAUAUUCCUUCAGCUCUUAGGACCAUUUUAGAAUCUUUCAGCUCACUGUUUUGGUCUCACAACAUGCAACGCAACCAAUAGAGUUGAUCCCUCUUAUCAGUACCUUUUGCAACAGCAGGCAGUUGUUUAAGCCAGAAAAGGACUAGAUUUUUUUUAAAGAGUACAAUCACAACUCCAAAUCAUUUAGGUCUGCGUCUCCUGGCUGUGUAAGGAGGCAGCUGCUCUCUGUGUCAAAGGAAACAGCAACAUUUAAACAGGUUUUACUUCAUGUUUUUCUGCAACGACGUCUCAGUAGCAGUUUUUUUUUUUUACAAUUGUUUAAAAACAAUGAAUUCUGAUUCUUAAAAUUGCAUGUUUAGUUUUACUAUUUUUCAUUUCAAGACAAAUCUUAAGACCAAAUAAAUAAUGCAAAGCAGUUAUCAAUGGUAUGGGUAAUUUAGAUUACCCACUGAUAUCAUGAUCCCUUGUGAAACUCAAAGCGAACUUAAAAGAGUUUAACUUUGGUUCCUCUGAGUGUUUCAAUCAAGUCUUGUAUGCAAGAAACUACUGUUGGAUUCAGUGUUAAGGCAAAAGGCUUGACACAAAAUGCCAUCCUUACUCAUACCACCCUGCACUUCCCUCCACAUAAGAAAGGCUGUCCAUGGCAAAUUAUGUUCAGAUCCUGUUUGUAAACUUUCAAUUUAAUCAUUCUAUCUUUUACUAUUUAAGGUCCAUUUAAAGUUGUAGCACUGCCACUAAAAAGCUUUCUACUUACGUAUGUUACUAUUUUACAGAAGCCAAGAAGGGCCAUGGAUUUUUAUUAUUUUAUGCACUGUUAUCUUGUGAUAACGACUUAUUUAAUUAUCUCGAUAUAAUGUUUCAUUUUCUCGACUUAUUUUUGUUUUCUCCAUAUAACAAAGUUGGUUUUCUCAUGAUAAUGGAAAUGGCGUUUUAGCCGAACUCAGUGGUAACUUUUUAAAAAUGCCCUCCAGAUUAGCAUAUUUUUUAAAUGCAGCAGCCACUGUUGUCAACAGCAAGUCAGGGUUUUCAAUGAAAAAGGUGAUGGCAUGCUCCAUUUUGCGCAUUACACUUUUAACUAUUCGCAACAGUUAAAUGUUCCCACAUUCCCAAAUCCAGGGUUGUUCUCAAUUCUUUUUAAAACUUCUGUUGUUAUUCUGUGUUAGCCCCGAAACACUGGGACUAAGUCCCUCUCAUGUAUAAAGCUACUUUGCAAUAAACCUGAUUCUGAUUCUUAUGAUGAUCCUUCCACAGUGUUGACUGGUCUGAGGUUGGAUGCCACCCAUUUAGUAAGUACUGUGGCUAACAUCUUUGAUUUAGUUUCACCCUCCUCCUGUGUUAGGGUUGGCACCGACCCGUUUUUGGUUUUCAAUGCAUAAAAGAUCUACAUAAAUUGUUUUUUUGGCAUCAAGACUUUGUCAGGAACCUCUUUUUUAACAAAUUUUAAAUAAUAAUUUACUAAAUUAUAAAAUGCUCCGGUUGAAAUUAUGGCCAAUAUGGCCAGUUGCGUGUUGACAUCAGUGCACCUACAUGCUUAGGGAUUAUAAAUCUGACAAAGUAAAUCAGCAAAAACAAUUCAAUAAACAUCCUGAUUUAAUAUAAUGACAUCAUAAAAGUCAUUCUCAUGAUUUUAUCACAGCUUUCAAGAAAUGAUUAAGCUGAUUAAAAUUUGUAUGAUGUACAAAAGCUUUGCAAAUCAUAGCCUUGGCAAUUCAUUAGGAACAAAAUGUUCUGCAGUGCUGAGUGUUUCUCUGCUUUAAGUAUCCUUUUCCUUUGUUGCAGCAGACUUAAAAGGUGGUCAAAUUAAAGUCAUUUAAAAAUCUACAGGGAAAUAAAUUAGGAGUUGCAGUGUUGCAGUCCCAAAACUGAAGGGAUUAUAAAUCUGACAUACCACCACAGUGUGAAACAGGAUAUGCUGCUUUCAUGUGGGUAUUUCAGAGCUGUUUACUGCUGAGAUAUGAGUGAAGUGAGAAGGUCUUCAUUCUAGCUAGAAAGAUUUUCAUAUCAGUAAGAAAUAAGCCCAGGGUGACGCUUUCAUGUGGGUAUUUCAGAGCUGUUUACUGCUGAGAUAUGAGUGAAGUGAGAAGGUCUUCAUUCUAGCUAGAAAGAUUUUCAUAUCAGUAAGAAAUAAGCCCAGGGUGACUGUGUAUUAAUAUCAUAAUUUUAUUCUAUAGUUAUGUUUAUUUAUGUUUAUGUUGACUAGCCUUAUUCUAUAAUUGAAAUGUAGCUUUAAAACCAGAAAGGUUUUCUUGUUUAAUAUUAUUCAAACAAGAAAAAGCUGAUGAACCCAUAAUUAACUAAUUUUAAGCUCUUGUCUGCAGGAUUGGGGCUUAAAAAGCAAACAUCCCCUGUAAGGCUACAUAUGUAAUCUCUACAUUUUUAUAUGAAUACAUUGGAUUCUGCAUGUUUUUGGUGAAUCAGGGUGCAUAUUUUCAAACACAACUGAAGCCCUUGACGGUAAUGAAUGUGCACAACAAAGCCAGAAAACUUCUCAGCGAUGGAAAAAAGGGAGAUGUGAAAUGAUGGAAUUCAGAAAGUAAAUGACAGAGAAGCGAAAGCAGCCUCUCCUUUAAGUGCUUUGAUCGUUGGAUAAUUGCUUCUGCACACUAUUUGAGACUCUCUGCAUGCGCACACGUACAAACACAAACAGAACACCAUGUGCCGCCUCUAACAACAUUGCUUUAAUGAAAUGUCGUGAAUCCUUAAUGAGUCUCAAUGUCUUGUGAUAAAUUUCAUAAUUAUUCAACCCCACACAACCGGAGAGGGAAAUUCAUCAGUCAAAGCAAAUUAGUUGGGAUCCAUUAGGGUUCAGUGUCUUGUAGGGACAUUCACUUUAUUAGCUCCUUACACCCAUUGCCAUAAUUGGGAGCAUAUUUCAUUUGGCUGUAACCCCACUUUACUGAAUGACUGCUCUUUCCUUUUUUUAUUUACAGCAAUGUGCUAUGUGUUCAUAUAUUUUGUCUGGCUGCUAAACAGUAGAGCAAUCGCUUUAGAUUGAUGUGUGAUUUUUCUUCUGUAUGGUUUAAAUUAUUCUGGAUAGAGAUUUCCACCUCCACUUUAAAAAGUAGGUUGGGAAACACCAGAUGAGGAACAAUGUUACAGCACACAGAAACAGCUUAAUUCCACCUGUUUUGCCAAUCUGUUUUUGCUGGGAAGUUCUUGGUCUUGUGACUCCGGUUUUUCUGUGGUUCUGCAAACUGGAACCAAACCAAAUCAGAGCACAAGACGGACUAAAUACUAAAUACAGUACAAAUACAAUAUUAAAUUCAGAUCUGGUGUAAUUCUGGCAUAAGGCAUGCAUGAUCCGAAAAAAGAUAUCACAACACAAAUGCAUUACAAUAAUCAAUACUUUGGGCACUAAACCAUGCAAGAAAACACAGUCUCAAAAUCAGUUCUGCAGUUUCCAGGUAUUGUUGUAGCAGUGUGCCGAGUUGUGUGCAUGUUUACAUUCUACGGUAUUGUAACAGAGAUACAGACACUGCAUACACAGUGGUCAGUUUCUUUAUGAGAGGCUGCAAUAAAGUGAUUCCAGUUAGAUGUUUAUCAUAGAUUAAUUCUGGGCAAUGUGAACAUGGUCACUGCAUGUUGUAUUUCAGGUCAUUGCUCGUCCUGUGAUGUGACAGUUGCUCAGAUGUCACUGCAACUGUGUGUUGAUAUGAACCAUUCUUAUACAUCUGUAUUGUGACGUUGUUAUCAUUUGUCACAAAGCUGAUAUCUUAUCCUGUCAGAAAUGGUCAUUUUCCUUUGCCCUCAUAGAUUUUGUUUUCUAUAGGGAGCCUCAAAUUGAAGGAGUCAUACUGCCUGCUUUUAUAAUAAAAUUCCCGUGAGGAACUGACAAAAUUGUACUUCUCAUGUUUUUGCUGAUCACACGUGGAAGUUGUGAUUUCUGAUGAGCCUGCUUUUAUUUAUCAAAAUUUUGGGUGGACCGCAGAAUGUUUUCCGAUGCUUUGGUUUUUCGAGGGGCUGAUUUUACAUUUUGAAUGACAGAAGUGGUAAGAAGCCUGAAUAACUGCCCCCUUUAAUGCAGAUAAAACAAGGUGAUGAUGAGAGAUGGUUUUGUCACUCUGUGAGGAAGCCUUGGUCUGAGCAUGCUGCUCCUUGUUGAUCAGUUGCACACGGUGGAGAGGGUAAUUUCUGUAGGAUGACUGAUGAUGGCUUAAACUCACAGAUGCCUCUCUUGUUUGUCUUGGGGCUGCCUCAGGGUUCGUCUUACCCUCACUCCUCUCCCUCUUGUUCUGACAACCUGCAGACAUCUCAGAUGAGCGGCAUUCUUCCCACAGAGACACCAAGUCUCAGACCUGGAAGCAUGAACAGGAAAGCCUGUCUGUUCAAAGUCAAGGCCAUGAGACACUGAUGGCAGAGAGUGGAGAAGAUUAAGCAAAAGUCAAUUGAACUUGGUGAUCAGUGAAGAUUUUGUGGAAAACCUUUUGUAUUCUCUUAAUUCACCUUUACUUUGAAGAGUAGUGACUUGCAUUAAUUAGCAUCACAUAAGGUUUAAGCUCUACUGCACGUCUGACCAUAUUUAGUUCUAUGUUGUGCAGUCGACCAACCAUAUUUUUUGACUUGACAAGAAUUUCAUCAGAUCACUCAUGAGCAGUUGAUAGGGCCGUGGUUGGCCCUCAUGACCCUCGGUACCCAUAAUGCAUGUCAAAGGAUGCACGAUCAGUCUUCAAGUCAGCCUGACUUCCAAAGCAGUUGUGUGUAAUAAUAAUUGGGUCAGAAUUGGCUUUAAAUUGCACUGUGUAUGCCCUGCUUAAUGGAUAAGACAACUUUGGCGUGUUCUGAAACACCUAGAAGAGCCUGGAUUUUGUAGUAACUCUUACACAAAUAGUUAAAAACCCCAUUUCCCCUCAUUUAAAUGUGGUGCACACCUGCUACCAAGGACUUAUCACUAAGAGGAAUUGUGAAUAAAAUGGUAUAGGAACACAAAUCAUCUAAGUUAGAUAAGAUUUUAUGAAGAAAAUUGGGUUAUGUAGACUGUAAAGUCCUAGUCGACUGGUCAACUUAUUGGUUGAUACAUGCUGAGUCGACCAAAAUUCUGACCGGACAACUCGAUUUUUUUUCCACGUCAGUUUUCAGUCUAUGGUUAAUUUCAUCAGGAGGAACGUACCAAGUGCUAAUGGGGGUGUUUUCAGAGCACCCUCUUUCAGAGGUAACAGCCUGUCUCAGAACACCACCCUUGUUUUCACCAUUUUGGAUUCAACUAACCCACUGAAGACCAACUGGAGACAGGAAGAUUGAAGAGUGUCUACGUUAAUCAACAUCAGGUGGUUUGCUAGUUGUAAUACUUGUGUUUAUUGCCCUCUCAUGCUGAUAUCAGUAUAUUUUUACCCCGCCGAGCCGUGCACCACCGAGCCACGUUGUCCCCCACCGCAGAAGGCUUUGCCAUCAGAGUCGGAACACCCCACCCCCACCCCUGUUAGUCGAUUUUUGGUCGAAAAUGUCAGGGUUGGCGUUUGGGUAGGGUUGAUAAUCAGCCAUAGCAGACUGAGCUGUUUAUCAGUAGUGUAGGUAGGUUUCACUGAAGUCGAUUUAAGCUAAGGGGUUGUAGAUGACAGCUCUUUGUGACAGCCUUUAUAGUUUAUUUGUUUAUUGUAUGGUCACAUACGGAGAUGAGAGUCACGUGGUGGAGGUGGUACAUCAGCACUGGUAGUAGUGAAGUCAGCUGAUCACCUGGUGGGUUUUGUGAGUGAAUGGAGAAGGGCUUAACGGAGAAGUCCUAAAUUUUGCUGACUGCUUAUGUUUUGCUGCAUAUUGAAUGACUGCCUUUUCCCACAUAGGUGCUUCAUUUCUUAUCAUCGAUUAAACUUCAAAAGGAGCAACAGCCUAUUCACUGACGCUUCUACAGCCAUUGUGUUGGGCAAAGUUAUACUUUCCCCUACUCAGCCUCUUGGCGACUAAGUUGUUUAGGACAGUCGCCUUUUGGGGUAAACUCCCUUAGAGUUCAUUGAAGCAUUUUUAGCUAUCAGGGGACUCUGAAUUUUCCCUGGCAGCAGAAAGCCUUUCACUGAAGCCUUGCUGUAGUGUCUUACUUUCUCAUCUCAUUCUGUCCACAUCAUGACCAUGUUUGUCCAAAAAGCCUGUGCUGUGGAGCUGACCUGAUUGGAAGGUAAUAAAAAAUCUAAGUUGAACAAAGGAAAGAAAUAAGCUACAUUCAACCACACCCGCGCACACACACCCGCACACACACAGAAAAUAGCACCCUUAUCAUCCCUGUUUCAUUUAGAGUUGAUUGCUGUCGGAUUAUAAUGCAAUCACCACGCUGUGUGAGCCGUAACUAUGGGAACUGGUUUUAACUGUUUAUCUUGCCAGAGAUCUUAAUUUAAGUUUGAACACUCUGGAUCACUUAGAUGUGAGAGACAUGGGAAAUUGACAAAAAGGGGGUGACAACAAAGAGAAGGGAGGGAAUGGGAGCUGUGGAAGAAAAUGGAGAAACAGACACUUUCUUGUUCUUUCUGUUGUAUUUCAUAUGCAAUUUAAUUUGUCUUUCAGAGAAAAUCAAUUUAUGAUGACAAUCCUGAGGGCAGUAAUGAAAGAAGCCCAGUUCCUUUGCCAUGGGAAAGUUUCUGCUGGAGAAUGCCACUAAUCUUGGCAAAAUGAAUCAUUCACACUUUAUUUGGACAUCUGUGUUAACACACACACACACUCUCUCUCUCUCUCUCUCUCUCUCUCUCUCUCUCUCUCUCUCUCUCUCUGUCUCACUCACACACACCUCCCCUCGACUUUCAUUCAUUUGUGACAGUUUUAUUACAAGUUGCGCAGGUGGCUGGAGGCUCAGGAGCCAGGAAGAAUGCCUCAUGGAGAUGAUCCAAACUGUUGAGGAGUUGUUGAGUUUUUAAAGAUGUUUCCUCUGGCUGUAAUACACUUUAGGACACUCCAUACUAACAAACUACAAGACUCUAAAAAGGCACACUGGACAAAGCCUCCCACUACGCUGCAGCCUGCUCUCCAAAGAUGUUGACUUUAACGUGUGAACAAACCCAGAUUAUAGGCUUUUAGGCCAUGACUCUGUGUAAGCCUGAACUAACUCCAUCCUAAAUACAGGAAAUUGCACACGAUGCCACAGUAUCCUUAGUGUAGUUUGGGACUCACAGCAAGCAGCUUUAUCGCCUUUGUGGUAUUUCAAGAAUUUCCUCAUAACAACUAGAGACUCUUAUUUUGAAAUUGGCAACAAAAAGUGAUAGUAAAGAUUGUCUGCUUGUCUUUUUCAGUAAUUUAGGGCAAAAGUUUCAUACUUGCUCAUGUAAAAUUUGUGUUUUCUGUAUUAAAGGUACAAUAAAGCUCCAGUGAAGAGUUUUUAGCUGGUUGUGAAACAGAUUAAAACUAAUAUUGACAUCUCUGUUUGAGCUGCAAAAGCAAAAAAAGACCAUGGGCAUCUCAUCAUUUUCUCUCCAUUGUUAUGUUUAAUGUUUGUAAGCACUACCACUGAGUACGUUUCAGAGGAAGUAAAUAACAGUGUGCUGCAGGAAUAGCCUUUGUUGGCAUUUUAAGCAGUAAAGAUCUGCAGUGAGUGAUACGAUUGCUUGAUCAAACACAGAAUUAAGAGAUUUUUCUCCACACGUCUUAUACAUCAACAAGACAUAAUUAGCAAAGAAAUAAGCGCUACCGUUUGACCACCAAAAUUGACAGGGUUCCUCAGAAGCUUAAAGGGACAGUUUAAGUUUUUUUUUUGUUUUUUUUUUUGAAGUGGGGUUGUAUGAGUCACUUAUAAGUAUGUAUGUUGUUGUUUUUCCCCCUGCUGAGUGUACUGAUCAGCUAAUUGACUAGAUGUGUUAGUCACGAAUAAAUCAUGAAUUCUGAUAUUUUUGCAUUUAGAUUUGACAUGAUGUCAAGCUGUCAUGAUAGUUCUUGUUAGUUCAGUUUUUUUCCCGUUUUGUAAUUUAGUUUCAUUUUCUGUGUAUUUUCAUGUUUGCGUUUCUGUUUCCUGUUUUUUCUGUUUCCAUGUGUUCAUCAUUCUCAUGUUCCUGUUGUUCUUGUGUUUCACUGUUUGGGUUUUUUAGUAAUCAGUCCCUGUGUGUCAAGUCUCACCCUUGUCUGACUCACCUGCUGCUCAUUUCCCUGUGUGUUUAUAGUCCCUGGGCUCUAUUUUCGUUCGCGCCGGUGAGGCGGCGGAGGGCGGCGAGCCCCGCGCAGUUGUAUUUUCGUCUGGCGGAGCCCAGCGUAAGGCGAGUUUGGUAUUUUCGUGGACUGAGUCGCACGGAGGCGAGCCGAGAUCCGCCAAGCUGGGCGUGGUGGCGUGGCAGGGGGAGGUGUUGACAGAAUCAGCUGGCGCAGUGACAUUUUCGUGCUCGCCACCGGCGUGUAACGUGCGCUGAAAGCUCGCCGAUUCAAACCUGGUCAGCUUUCAGCGCAAGGCGGAACGCAGCUGGUCUUGUAGUAUUUUGGUAGACCGGCGUAUCGACAUACGUCACUGAUGCCUCACCGGCAGGUUUCCACAGUGUCAGGCACAUUUCAGUGCAAUAAAUAAUCAUCAACAACUAUUAAUCUGAGCCAGCACAUACAUUUAGAUCUACAUAUCGAUAUAUUCUGAUCUAUAUCUGAUCUGAUGAGCGCGUUUGGCACGCGUUUGGGCACACAACCUGACCGAAUCAAUACAGCUGAAACUGCAUCAAAUUAAAUUAAAUAUCUAGUAAAUAAACACACAUGAUGAAGUUAACAAGAUAUUUAAUGUGUCUCCCUCCUUUUCUUUCUUCCUCUUAUUUCUCGCACAGCUCGACCUGGACACGUCUCCGUGUCCUCUGUCCGUCUUGCUGCAGCUGCUGCGGCUGAACAGAUGAUUUGUUUCAGCGCUCAGAUGCGUUAUCUACUUUAAGCCGACAUACGGAUAUUAUAAUAUUCAGUUUUGUGGGCCAAAUUUAUUUUAUAUGCCAACAUCUAUGAAAGAAAGAGCCAGGCCACGGAGCGCGAUGCGUCAUUUACGCACAGAUGGUUCCGAUUUUAAUGCCAUUUUUGGAGUUUAUGUUGUGAUCUGUGCGCUAAACCCACCUUUGUCACGUGAGGUUUGAAUAUAUGCAACUUUAUGUGAGUGUCUUUUUUGUGGAAAAGGGUGUUUGUCUUACCAGUGGGUCCAACAUUACGCACACCAAAUCUAUCUGUGCUCAGAUGAGAGAGUGUGGAGGACACUUGUUGAGCAGCUGCCCUCUGUCGCCAUCGUGUGGCAUAGCUGUCUUCAGACAUCUCUUGAUCUCUUUGACUACUUCAUGAAAAUAGUAAUACGCCUCGCCGGUGGCGGAUUUAAAGGCAAGGAGAGGAGCUUAUGUGAUUGGUGAAAACAGGUCUCGGCUGUGUUAAACCCCUAUAAGCCCUCUCUCCUCCCCUUCUAUGAUUUAUGCUGCCGGGAGGAGCUGAGUUAGGGAGGGGGGAUACUUACGCCGGGCUGCGCGGCUCAACAAAAUACCAAAAUGUGCUUGGGAACGCCUUGUCAGCGCGGCGGAUCUGAUUGACUCUGCGCUUGCGGCACGUCUCCAGCGAGGCACCAAAAUAGAGCCCCCUGUCUCCCCUUUUUUCGUUGUUGGUUCAGUCUGUCAUGUUUGAAGAAAAACAAAAGGGAAGGCCCACGUGCAGAACUCAGAGAUUUAUUAAAGCAAAGACAAAAGAGAAAAGUCCUUUGAAAAUGUCGAUGCUGCCCAUGCCUUUCAACCCUAUCGCCUGUCCUUAUGGUUUCCCAGUGCCUUUUUUUUUUCAUUGGAUUUCUGCUCCUAGUGUUUUAGGUCAUUUGGAUUUGGAUUUUUGGUAUAUUUUCAUAUGGUGAAUGCAGCUCAUGGGAUCAUGAGUUGUGUCAUUUUGCAAUUAAAAAAACAAUAUGUACUGUUGUGUUGUCAGGAAAUACAAUACGAUGUGACGUGACCCUAGACCGUGUAUAGAAUGGAUGCUGUCUGUCUCCUCUCUGAGUAAAGCCACUCUGAGAACAGCACCCUCUGGUGACGGGCUGCAGUAUAGAUCAUUAAUCCCGUCUCCUCCAGCAAUCCCUAUGGAGCUGUGGACAAACUUUAGAAAUUAAUGACACAGAAUAUAGAUUUUUCUCCCCCCUGGUUGUGAUGUUGACAUGUAGUUAUUGUAAGACUGGUUUGUGCUCAAGUCCUCUUUUUUUCUGUACAGCUCCAUUUUAAAAGUUUUUAGGGGGUUCAUGUUUUCUAUGAUUGACACUUGAUACAGCCUGUGGGCGUACGAAAUUUGCGUAGCUCACCCGGAGGAUACACUGUUUGAGCUGAGCAUCAUCACAGCGACUUUUGGUCACUCUUCCACUAAAUGUGUACAACGCUAUUCUCAAGUGGUGGUUACAAGAAGUGGAGAAAAUCCUGGAAUUACCAAGAGCAAUUCAGCUUCAAAUUCGUAUAAUGACGGAGCGGAGCCAAGUUGUCCACAGUAUACACAGUAUAUGGAUAUGAUGACAUAAGUCAGAUACAAUAAUACAAGAAGAUGUGAUACUACACAAUACUACAUGAUACCAUUUGAUACUAUAUUUAUAAUAAGAUGUGAUGUAUGAUAAAAGAUGGUAACAUUCAUUAUGAUCAAUAGGAUACGACAAGAUAUAAUAGGAUUUAAUACAAUAAAUCAUGAAACAGUACAAUAUAACUGAAGAUGCUAUCAAAUAAUGUACAUUAGGAUACAAUACAAUAAAAUAUAAGAGUUAAGAUGAGAAAACUUGAUGCAAUACAGAUUGUGUGCUAGUGUUUUGUAGAUUUAUUCAUCUACUUCUUUUGGUUUUGUGAAUGUUUUGUGGAAUUGUUAUGCAAUUUGUGCUUCAACAAAUGUCUUUAGUACUGUAAGAAUUGAAGUCUUCUCUUAACAGGCUGGUUAAAAAUGAGUCCUGCAUCUCUAUCUUGUUCAACCAGAAGUUAAACAGGUAUGUGCAAUGGAAAAAGUGCACUGCUGCCUUAAGUUUUCAGACUAUGUAGUUAUGUGCUCAGCUGCAGCACAUUAAAAAUCAUGCAAACAGACCAUGGCACACAAAGAAAUGUGAUUACAUUUGCCAACAUGAACAUGUUUAAAUCAUUCAGAUCCAUUAAAAAUGACCAACAGCUUAACUCAAAGUGUGUGCUUUUGUCUUAAGGAUGAUGAACAGGUGAAAAGUUGUCUGUGAAUCUCAUCUUGAAUACCUUCUACCUCUUAGAUUUCUGCUUCAAUAAAAUUCAACAUUUGUUCUUGGAAAAUUCCUCUGCCUCUUACUCAUACAUAUUUCCCUAGAACAGAAGUUGGCUGAAUUGUAAGCUGAAGUGUGAAAUGGAAAUAAGUUAAAGUGGGAGGUCAGCGAUCAAUAGGAAGUUAAUUAAUGAAGAGUAUGCAAUGUUGUGAAGUAUGGAUUUCCGAAGGCCUAUGAUUGUGUUCCAAUCAUUGAAAUGUCACCAGCAUUACAUCUAGAAUCAAAUCAACCUGCCUUUAAUUUACCUUGAAUUUCUAAUCUCAUAAAGGGAAAUAUUUAAUAGCUUAGCCUGAAAACCAACCACUCUAACUGAAAGUAUAUUCUUUCCCGAACUUCAGGGUUGACUUGUGAGGAGAGAAAUAAAAAAGUUAAUUAAGUUGCAAUGCAUCAAACAUUGCUGUAUAAAGUUUUGAGGACUGAUAACAUUAACAGUUCCUCAAAGACAGCAUAUUCAGCUUGCGAUUCCAGUAAAAGUUGACUUUAUUUUUGAGGUUUUAAAAGAUUAAAAAAUGAAUAAAGAUGGCACCUCUUUUUUUUGAUAAAACCUAAUAGCCUUGAAUCCAUCUUUUAGGGGAAGAAGAGGUUCCCAUGUUUUAAUAAAUGCUUCAAAAUGAGUGAAAAUAAGCAAAGUAUGUUUAAUGCAACAUGUCUGACCAGUAGAGAGGACUCCAGUGGAGUCAUAAUGUGUUAAGUGAGGGCUAUGCACAUAAUGAACAUAGUUAGUAUGCAUAUUCAUUGACCCAUAUAGACUCAAAAUAUGCCCCCUGUGAAAGAUCAUUGCCAUGAGUCUAUGUCUUGUUAUUGUAUGUAGAACAUAGCUGCACCAGUGUUCAAGCUUUAAAAGUUUGUGUGAGAAAAGUUGUGCUGUGAAAGAGAACAAGGCUAAAAAAAUUAAGUUCUGAUUACAAUUACGGGACGUGACACUUAGCUGAUUUCAAAUCAGCGAGGCCAAAUUUCACAAAGCCUGUCAAUGGUGGCAGCAAGCUCGCCAGAUCCCUCCCCAAUCAAAAGUUUGCUCUAUAUAAUUUUACGCAAUCAGAUUUCUCCACAGUCAUCCAGUGCAAUCAGGUAAUCAGAGGGGAGCAUUAACAAGACAAAUGGGGUUUAAAAAGUGGGUGCACUCUGUUUGCAGGAACUUCCUAUGGAGAAGCCCCCUCCCCUCUUUGAUUACUCCUAUCACCCUCAUACAGCGCAACAUCCCCGCUAAAUAGCUUUCCUCUACAGUACAGGCUGUAUGUUCAGUUCGGGAAUGAAUGUGAUUGGCUUUACAGGUAACAGUCCACCAGUAAAUUGUUGCUUUAAGGCUAUUUAUGUCAAGUGAUUAACUGCUCAAACUAAUGGUUUCACUGAAUGAGGCGUGCUCAGUAAUGACCUCUUUCUCACCUUUCAUUAAAUGUGAAAUUCUGGGGUCCAGAUUGCACAGUCAGGGACCAUUUAUGCAGAAUGCAUUUUACCCCCAUGUAUGCAGAUGCACUGUAGCUUUUGCAGUAUGUGACUGGAUUUGUGCUGACUGCUUUCACCUUGGAUAACAAGGUGUAGCUUCACUUCAUAAGCUAAAUACACUGUACUGCAAAGUCCUACAAUUGUGUGAAUGCAAGGACUGGGCUGCAGCUAUUCUUAGAUCCCUAAGUUCACAUGUUUAGUCCUUUCUAACACUAAGAUAUCACUGGCUAGCUUAUUGCUAGAUACAAGUUUCUAAAUUGAGUUGCAGCUUUCAUUUAAAGAAUAUGUUUGAUCAGUAAAGACAACAAGCACCACUAGAUGGAAGUUCCUCUCUGUGUUGUUAUGAUAGAUUGUAAUUAAUCGUAUGGACUAUCAUACGAUUCAUUGCGAUUUAGAAUAUUAAUGGUCUGACAGCCUUGUUUUAGCCUUGAAUGUAUCCAAUUUAAUUGGAUCAGUUUAAUACCUUUAAAUUAGUAUGAUAAACUGAUCCUUUCCACUGAUGCUGAUUUUACUGACUAUCAUAGACAGUCUGUGACACUUCCUUUUCCCUUUAUCAGUUAUACUGUUGUAUCCUAUACUCCAGAUUUCUUCAUCGUAGCCUACAGUAUCUGUCUUUAAUCUCUUUGAUGUCAAUGAUUAUUCAUCUUUUAGCCUUUAGCUAUGAAAACAGUUAGCCUGCCAGGAUCUGUGAUUAAAGCUGUAUCCAUGGCAACUGUUUACUAUUAGGACAUAACAGCCCAUUGGUAUAUAGAGUAUUGACCGGUCAGAUUAACGUAUUUACCACAGCUGUGGAUCCUUUUUUAAUAUUCAUAUGUUACAUGACUAUUUAAUGUUGUUAUUAAAAACUUUUGAGCAAAGGUCACAUCAGAUAUGAUUUUUCAGUUAUAAUUUUCUUUUUCUUUCGCUUACAACACUUACGCCCUUUGCUCACCUGUGUUGUUUUCACCUGUGCCUUAAUUAUUAUACUAGUCUUAGUCUCCCUCUAUUUUCUGCUACUUGUGUGGAUGCCCAUGCAUUGUAAUCCAAAAUACAUCAAGAGUUUACUAACGUUAUACCUUGUAGUUCAUCACUGUGACAUCAUGGUGACCAUUUUUUCUAACCCUGCCACCCCACAGAGGCCUUUUCUUGUACCACACAUCUGUGUGCUCAUGUAUGCACUUAAGCUCCUAGUAUAUGCAUUUUCAUCAGGAUAAGAGAAAUAAUUUGAGCACUCAGUAAACCUAAGAAGGACUGCUUUUAACACCCUGGAGGCCAUUAAAAGCAUUUUUUUUUAUUACCAGGUACUUUAAGAUGGAAAUAGAAAAUCACCAGAAGCUAAUCAUUAGACCAUUAGCAGAGGUUCUUUCAUACAGAACAACUCCAACAGACCCUGACACCUGACUACUUUGCCUGCUAGCAAUAGCAUUAGCCAUUACAGACAGUUUUGAACUUUGAUGCAGGGUGCAUUUACAGUGCUGUAAUGUUUGGUUCAUACAUUUGUCAGUUGAUCAGAGCAUGAUAACUUUUGUCUUGGCUGUGUUUAGAAAGUGGUUACAUAUCGGUUUUAUAUUAAAGAAACAUACUAAGAAUAAGGAUAUUUAUAAGGACAUUAAGUGAUGAAAUGCACCAGUUAGGAUAGUGAAGUGGCUGCUAUUGAGUGCAAAAGAAUUUGUAUGGAUUGAUGUUUCUGUUGAAAAUAACUUAACAGAGGUUCAUAAUGUGCAUCACAGGAGUGCCCAAUGUCCCCACCGUAGCCUCACUGACUGGAGGGGUGGGCAAGUCAGUGUUUCAAUCCAGACUCAGACUGCUAGAUACGAGCUAUUUCCAUUUCUACACACUGCAGCUUUAACCUCACAAAUUACUGGCAGCUAUUUUCACUCACAAGAAAUUCAUGCCUUUAAUAAUACAUGCAAUACGUUUGCAAGAUAUAAUUCUGCAUUUGUCAGGGUAAUGUUGAAAUGAAAUAUUCUGGCUAUAAACGAGGGGAAUGUACUUGCUAAGAUUUGAGUUUUGAAGUGUAUGGAUUGGUAUUUCAAUCGCUUGUGAAUCUUUGUUGUAGUGAAAUGCAAUAACAUUACAUGAGUGCAUACAGUUAGGGAGGCUAGUUUAUAAGAUGUCUAUAUGCUGCGAAAUCUCUUAACUAUAAAAUAUGCUUUUGUCUGUUUCCCAGUAAAAUAAAUCUCCUACUUCUGUAAGAAAAAUUGUCAUAAUUGUAAUGUGGCUCGAUCAAUCUCAAAGUCUAAAUAAAUGUCUUGUUUCAAGCCAAAAAUAAGACCUGGUUUGCUUCUAAUGAGAACAAUUUUGCCAGUGAGGUUAGAAUAUAUUUACUUUUCUGGUUUAUUGAAUCAAGGAGGCCUCCAGGUGCCAAGUCAAAGACAGAAAAGGCCAUGUGCAAAACUAUACACAUGGGUUGAACAUCUGUACCCAAGGUGUGUAAUCCACUUGCUGGUCUGAAUCAUGGGUACAGACCUCAACACACAAUCAAACUCAAAGAAUUCCCAAAUGCAUAACAUACUACAGUAUGCUACCUUGGGUUAAUUACAGAUAAAUGCAGCUAACUAGGUAGAUGUGGUCUGACAAUGGGCUGUAUAUAGAAUGGAUGCCAUCUGCCUCCUCGCUGGGUGAAGUCGAGAACAGCACCCUCUGGUGACAGGCUGCAGUAUAGGUCAUAAAUCCCACCUCCUCCAGCAAUCUCUAUGGAACUGUGGACAAACUUUAGAAAUUUAUUACACAGAAUAUACAUUUUACAUCCCCCGGUUGCAAUGUUGACAUGUAGUUACUGUAAGACUGGUUUGUGCUCAAGUCCUCUUUUUUCUGUACAGCUCCAUUUUUAAAAAUUAUUAGUGGGUUCAUGUUUUCUAUGAUUGACACUUUAUACAGCCUAUGAAGUUUAUGUAGCUCACCCGGGGGAUAGGCUGUUUAAGGCUGAGCAUCAUCACAGCAACUCUCCCGCUGAAUGCGUACAACGCUACUAUGCCAGUGGUGGUUCAAGGAAGUGGAGAAAAUCCUGGAAAUACCGCAGGCAAUCAAACGUCAAAAGUCUCAAAUUCAUAUAAUGGCGGAAGGCGUUAUACAUUAGCUGAGUUUUGAGUUUCUGCAGUGUUGAGGUCACAUGGGGCCUCAUGUAUCAACGCUUGCGGCGCAAGAAAACCUUGCGUACGCCAAAAUCGGCGCACACGUCCAGAUUUAUCAUCGCGAAACGAGCGUCGGUUCCAGCGCUAAUCAACGCAAAGUCAGGAGGUGGUGUAGAAAUUGGCGUUGAGCUGGAUAUUUGCGUUGACUGUGAUUCGCACUUUGGCGAUGCUGUGUGGCGGUGUUUGGUGACUCACUAUGUGACAAGCGUGCACCACAUCCCCGUGGCCGGGCAGCACGUCGCCCCACAUGACGAACCAGCAGCAGACGGAGGGAUGCGAGCUGAUCCCUGCCGGGCCGCCGUCCUCGCGCGGGAGAAUCUCAUCGCCACAGUGUGAAUGGGUAAGAAGUGAAUACACAGUUCAAUGAGCCAAAUUAAUUUAUGUUCUCCACCAGACGCUCGAGGAAAUUUACGAGCCGGUCCAGCCGCUCGUUGAUCCCCGCGAUCCCCCUGAUGAUUUCUUCCUGCGAUUGCAGGACCCCCUCCGCGAGGACCCUUCCACUGCGUCCGGGUGGUCCAGCGGAAGCGCCGCGGCUGGUGGACGCUCCACCGCUUGUCGGCGCGCUGGUGCUGAUGCUGGUGCUGGUGCUGGGGCCGGGGUGGCCCGAAUGCCGCUGGUCCUGGCCGACGACUCCGAGCCGGCGGACGGGCUGCCGCGGGCCGGGGUUCCGCAAGCCGGCGACACGGCCGACACAUUAAUUUCUGUGACACAAUAAAAAUAUUAGUUCAUUUCAAUUCCUGCUUCUGUGUAUCUGUUGCGUUUACAUCUCUCUCCACGGUAUCAUAGGUAAUGUAAUCCAGUAUUUCGAGGUCAGUUAUGCACAUUUCAGUUGUUUAUUGCAUAAAAAGUUAUUGAAAAAUGAAGUUAAGGGCGAAGUAUAAAUCACGUCUAAAAAUAGACUGAAUCCCGACGUUGAAAUGAAGUAUAAACUUAGACUAGACGUCUAAUAUACGUCUUUUGCUCAGUGGGAUGACAAAGCAUGUGGACAUUUGUGUGACACGCCACUUACCCUAUAAUAAUAAUCGCCACCACCCGCUGCUCAAACGGUGUGAGGGUCUCCUCCCCCGGACCCCCACCUGUCUGGCCGGUACUCCUCCGGAGGGCAGCUGUACGCCGCUUGACCUCCACCUUGAGGUCCGACCACUUUUUUUAAUCUCCGCGGGGGUGCGUGUCUCGGAACCCACCGCAUUCACCCUCUCGCAAACUUUCUCCCACUCCAAGCGUUUUUGUUUUGCACUGACGCCACUGGACAGGCUGCCAAACAAAACACGCUGUCGCUCCUCCACCUCCGCCACCAGCACCUCCACCUCGCACGCCGUAAAUGUAGUUUUUCUUGUCAUUUUGUCUGCGUGCGAGGACAGGGAGACCCUAUUUAAAUAAAUCUGCAUAUUUAUAGGAGGGCGUAACGGGGACGGGCCCAGUCACUCCGACAUCUGCGCUCAAUUCCACGCUGAUUGGGAUUUAUCAAGGAAACACACGUGGAUUUCGGCGCCCGCACACAUUGAUACAUACGGAUUUUUUUCAGCGUGACGGACCUUGCGUGCGCUCGUUUCUGGUAUGAGUUCCACGCAAGUGUUGAUACAUGAGGCCCCUGGUCUUUGUGCUAUGCUAUCCUUGAAUCUCUAUCUAGAAAGUACAUGCCUGCUUAAAUGAUCCCUUUAACAACAUAGAGGGUCAUUAAAAUUGCUGUUUGGCUAUAACAAUCAUUGGUAGGACUGCAACUUAAAGGUUAUCCUGCACAUGCUGGUUGAUAAGUUCAGCAGUGCUGGAAUUUUGUCCUCUUUCUCUACACUUGACUUUUACUUUAUCACUUAUUGUGAUAAACUCCGGCAAAUGCAAGAGACUGACCUCUUCAGACACUUAUCCAGUCCUUCUAGCAAAUUUCCUUGGCUUGGAAAUAAUUAGGGAAGACGAUGUGAGGACGACAAAGAGACAACAGGAAAAUGAAAUGGGCCCUCUCUCUCCAGCCCUGAGGGUCUUUGCCAGUCUUUGCAGCAAUUCUAAUUAAGCCCAUCCAGAAACAGAGGAGCUGGAUUGAGGCAGUUUCUCAUCAGGGUCCCUCCAUGAGCCUCCUUUGUCAUGAACACACAGCCAAUUACAAAGCCCAACAAUAGAGUGGUGGAGUCUUAUACCCUCCACAAAGAAGGGAGACUAUGGAGACCUCAAAAUAUCCAUAAGCGUGGAAUGACUUUGCGAAAACACUCUCACCUCCCUGAGAAGUGAAAUCAAAUAUGCAUUCUCUUUUUGUGUGGCCUAAAUUGCCUGACAUUACAAUUAAAAUGAGCUCACAGGUUCAAUUAACUGAAGUGUACACACUUAAACCAUUUUACGUUUCCAGGGGAACACCACUAAUCCAGUCAUAGAGCAUUUUUAAAAAGAAGUGCUUUCCGUUAAUUAAAAUGAAAUAUAUUUGAGUGUAAAAUGAAUCUGAACAACUCCUACUUCAUAUCAAGACAAGCCAAAGAUAACUUCACAUGCUUAUCAUCUUUGCAUAUUAGUCUUGGCGAAUAACAUGAGUGGCUGCAUAAUCUUUGAGCUUGCCAGACCUUAGAUUAUGGAGCUGUCUCUCAUUUUAUUCAUCGCUCACUGAGAGUAAUUACCCAGAGAUAAGUGUUCCUCUAUCAGGGUCCAGUCACUGCUCUGCGAAUGCAAUCUCCUCAGACACGGGUCCCGUCCCAGGCUAUUUGGGCGACACAGAGUGGGAAGUGGGUGCUGCAGGACGCUGGCUGAGCUUUGUGGUUGCCUGCGUUCGGAUGAGGCCUUCUGACAGUCAUGGCCAGGUGGGCCAAUCUUUCAAUCAGACACCCUAUUUACCAUUGCAAAGCUCUGCUGCUCUGCCUCAUUUAUAGCCGCUUAGGUUGCUUGUGAUGAAAGGCAGAUAACAGUGUACAUUCACCUUCCACCCCUCUCCUCUCAUGGAGCGAAAACACAUCCCCUGGGGAACCUUGGACUAUUAUUUUUUGUGUCACAUCAGGAAUGAAUGCUUCAUCGGAUUUGUAGAAAAAUCAGACGACGUGUCAGAAAGUGCAAUUAGUCAGUGAAAGAGCGAUUUAUUUUCUGAUGGGGAUAAGUGAGGCAAGAUUAAUGCUUCUAAGAAAAAUCAAUGAGUGGAAGAAAAACAUGCUCUUUUGUGUUGUGCCUUCACACGGAAAUAGACGUAAAGCAAGAAAACAAUAAUCCUCACCACACUGAGGGGCACAAAGACUAUGAGGAUGAAAUUUCAAGAACUGGGUGCCCAAAGCUUCCUGAUAGAAUGAAAUUCUUUAUACGGGGAGAUAAAUACAGUAUAUAAAGAAGAACCCUACAAAGAAAUGCACAACAACCAUGCAGUCUUUAUCUGGAAACAACAGCAAGGGUAGAUUAGAGGUUUUAUAAAAUUCAUUAACCAAUUAGUUUGUUGUAUGUGAAUGAGUGAAAUGCAUUUGGUAGUUGUAGGUGUUAGCUCUUCUCUGGGCCUCAUGACUUGCAGGCCUGGAUUUUGGUGUCAGUAAUGUUCUGCUUUGCACUUGUGUCUAGUGAUGCACCACAACUCUGCAUCAAUUCACAGGAAAAAAAACAGCUAAGUUUGAAAGGUUAGUUUCAUUCUGCCCAUAAAAACACAUUCCUUGGUGACUUGAUGAGGUUUUGCUUCUUUAAUUGCUUGAAACAAUAAGUUGGGUACAGCUGCAGCCUUGGAGUCUCUCAUCCCAAACCUGAAACAUUUCAACAUUUAGCCAUAUUUAUAGUUUGUAGAUUUCUAGCUGUCAGUGUUGUUUCUUUGGUGUAUAAAAGCAGCAGACAUAUUUUAAAGUUUGUUUUCAGUGGUAUGAAUGAUUGCCUUUGCUGAUAAGUGACCCCAACAAAAAUAAUUUUGCGGACGAGACUAAAGCUUUUAUUUUGAAAUUAACAAGCUCAGGCGGUGCAACUUUAGGGCAUCAGGCAUAGAGAUGGGCGGCUCUGAAAACUGAUAGAAACAAUGCACUAGAUAACAGACCUUAUCCGGGACCAGCACCGGUUUGACCUAGAGGUCAGAGCUUAUGUGUAUACUCUAUAGUCUUCAAGCUGGCAGCAAGGGUUCGAUUCUGCCUGUGGCCCUUUACACCAUCACUCUCCACUCUCUUCUAGUGUCACGCUCUAUGCUCUGUCCUAUUCUCUCUGAAUGAACUAUGAAAAGUUUGAAAAUAACUUGGUAUAACUAAGGAUAUCAGCAAUUGGUGGAGGAAACUGCUAUUGUAGGACACAACAAUGUCAAAUGAAUCUGAACAACUCCUACUUCAUAUCAAGACAAGCCAAAGAUAACUUCACAUGCUUAUCAUCUUUGCAUAUUAGUCUUGGCGAAUAACAUGAGUGGCUGCCUCAUUUAUAGGAUAUCAGGAUAUAGGAUAUCAGCAAUUGGUGGAGGAAACUGCUAUUGUAGGACACAACAGUGUCAGAAAACUAAGGAAAAAAACAGGUGUAGCAGAGAUGACCACUUUCUCAUCCCAACCGCCAAAGGAAUUUAAGGCUUACAUCUGGUCACCGGAGAUGAGAUGGUGUAAACCUUUAACACCAAAUCACAAUCUUUUUACAAUCUCCUGUCUCUAUACAAGACAAACAUAGAAGCCUUCUCAAAGGGACAAACUUUCUAUCCUUUCCACUUCAAAGAGACAAAGACAGGAUACUUUAUGACCAGCAGGAAAGAACUGCAGGACCACUCGAUCAGAAAAAGCUCUGUCAUCACACCUAAACUGGGAAGCAUUGUGUUUAUCAGCUCAGCCAUAAAUCCUAACAUUGGUGGAUCAUACCUAUGUUCUCUGUGAGUACAAUCCAAGGAGAAUAACUACAACUAGUCUAAGUACAGAUUGGAUGGACACUGCACAACGAUCAUCCGUCAGUACUCAACAUGUGCAGUAAAACAGUCUUUGUCCCAUUUGUCUAUCAUAAUCAUAAGCCAAGAUCUCACACUGACAGAUGAAAUCCUUCAGUCUAAAAGUUCCUUUAGGUCAACAGCUUUCCAAACAGUUUCAUGAACUUUUGAGAGCUGAAGUUAUUAUGUUUGAAUUAUUACCUUAUUCUAGAAGAAAAAGAGUAGAAAUGUUUAGUUUAUAUCUGAUUCAUUUGUUUAGCUUUGUUACCCAUUAGGUAGUUAUACUGUUAGUUAAUAAUCUGAACGUUGGUUUGUAGAAUCCAUUAUUAAUUGUCACGCUUCUCAAACACGUGUAAAUGAACUUUUUAUUUACAUGUGUUUACCCUUGUGUUAUUCAAUGUUUAUAUGUGUUACUAUCUGUUUCAUUUCAGAGUAAUUCAACAUAAUCAAGCCUCUGAACGCCACCCAGCAGGCCCAAAGUCAUCCUCUGUGCCAGAGUUGUGCAGUGAGACCAAAGGAGCGUCCAAAGGACAGAUAAGGCGCUGGUUUUUGCAUCUAGGCCUGUGUGCUGUGACUCCUGGCCUGUCUUUUUCAGGGCCAAACCUCUCAAACCACCGGCAGCCCGUACCUUCGGAACGUCCUCCAUCCUCUCCAAGGGCCAGCAUCACAUAAGUAUGCAAACCUCCAGAGCUCCAAACAGGGCUGAUGCUGUCUCAUGCAUUCAUAACUCAAAUAUUCACUUAUUCGAGUAAUCCAAGGUUUAUCCAAAUCCACAUCCAAAUUUGUCUCUACACCAAAGUUAAUCUAGGUUAAUAUGUUAGAGCAUAUUCACUCAUUAUCAUUAACUUUAGUAAUCAUAGCCUGACUCAGAAUCCUUAUUC